AAAUAUAUAGAAGGUCAGGUUCUUCAGGGCAGGGACAAAGGCUGAAAGAACUACGGACAAAAAAAAAGAACCACAAGUUUUAAAAUUGCGGACAAAAUCUAGCAAGGGACCAUGCUGAUCAACAAGGUUGGUUUUAUCGCUUCUUAUAUCUUAUUUGUGUUCUUACCCAUAUUCAUGUUUAUCAACAAAUAUUGUUUUUAAUAAAUAGUGGUGAACAACGUUUGAAGAUGAUCCACUUAUUUCUAGGCUUUCCAUAUUUGUUCUCUAUUUGGGAUUGGGUUUUGUUUCCCCUUUUCAAUGUUCUCUAUAAUGAUGUUGAAUAUCGUUUUUUUGGAUUUUUUUUUUUAAAUCAUAGCUAUCAUAUAGGUCUGCCAAAUUAGUUCAAGCUACGAAAUCUCAUAAAGGAAAAAAUUGUUCGAACCUCGUCCUCACAACACACACAAAAGAAAAAGCGAAAGAAUAAAUUUUGCUUUACUCUUCUAAUUUGUUUUUUCCUUGCACUCCUUAGAGAUGGGAAGUGCACGGCUGAUGAUGUUAGAACAGAUGUAUUAAACCGAUAAAAUCUUGAAUUUGUGAGGAUGACGUUGAAAUGGCCUGGGUAUGGUAUGUAUCAAAGAGUUUGUUCCAAGGAGAGAUCCAACUUAAUGAAGGAGAGUGGUGUUAACCAACAAUUUGCAUGGAGACUGUAAAAGAGUGUAGGAAAAUUAGCAGUAAUACAGAUUCCAGGUUCAGUAUCAUUCAUAAUGCUGGUUCCUUUUUUUUUUUGGUUUCUAAACAGAUAUUGGAUAAUAGAGGAUGUCCAAUUGAUUUUUCUGACUCAGAAAUCUCCCUCUCUCUCUUAAAGUGACACAGUUAACAUGUGCUUUUCUGACAUAUGCGGCAGACAAAGAAGGGAGCAUCAAAAAGCUCUUAACCAGCUGAUUAGUAUUUUUGAGAGAGGUUUCUGAGUUACUAAUUCCAUUAUAGUACGAGGAUAUAUUGUGAAUAACAGGACAUUAUUGUAAAAUUUCAAGACCUCAUCCAUACAUGAGUUAAUAUUUAGUGUUGAAUGGACAUGGAUGCAGCAGUCAAAUUUUAAACAUGCAUCAGUGUCUUGCUCAGCUGGAGGGAAAAAGGAGAUUAGGAGAUGUUGGAAAAUAUACUUCAAUUUUACUAUAAUUUUGUAAAUUGUGUUUUUCUAAUAUCUAAAAUAUACCAUGUAGUAAAAUAUACUUCAAUAUUUGAGAUGUUGGAAAAUAUACUUCAAUUGCACUCUAAUUUUGUAAAUGGUGUUUUUCUAAUAUCUAAAAUAUACUAUGUAGUAAAAGAUAAUGCCCGCUAGGUGUCAUCUUCUAUAUAAAACUAAAUGCUUCUUUCUCCUUAAGUGUUAACUUACUAUUGAUUGUUUAAUUAAUGAUGUCAAUCUUGAUCUCAAAUAUUUAAAUAAUUUUGACUUUCUUGAUGUGUAAUUUAAAGUUGUCAUGAUGAUAAACUUUGGCUACUCCAGUAGAUCCCAAGAAGUGGUCUCAACUCUCAGAACAAUCAUGAUGAAGAGGCUGUGUAUUAAUUAAUGAUAAAAUUAAAUCUAGUUGGAAUUUAUGAAUGUCAAGAAUAAAGAGUUGCACUUGCAAAGAAGGUAAUGUAAUAUCUUCUAAAUGCUUUCUAUUUGAUGAAAAGCUAAAUGCUUCCAUUUACAUAAAACUUUAGCAUCAUUUCAAUAUCUACCAGUUACCACCUUAGCGAAAAUCAAAAGACUACUCCCCAUUUUGUUAUGUUGAGUCAACCUAUCCAAUCACAUCUAAUGAGUACUUGCCAAUAUAUGUUCAAUUCUUCAAGUCAAAUGUCAUAGUCCAUACUGACUGUUAUUAUCUGCAAAUAUAUGCUAUAUGACAUCAAAAAUAUGAUAGUUUUGAAUUUUACCAUAUUCCCCUUUAGAUUCAAUCUAUCGACUUUUCAAAAUGAAUGUGUCCUUAUUUUCAUAAAAUUAUCAAUGUUUAAAAUAAAAAUCAGGUAAAUGUACAAGUGCCUAAUCUUUUUGCAGGAAAGUACAAUUUUUGGAGGAAAAACAAGGUAGCAUAUUAGUCUCUUCCUAUAUUUUCUUUCCUAUCGUGGUCCCUUGAUUUAAUCAUCUUUCUCUAAUCAUAAAACAAUUGAAAAAUUCUACAUCAAUUUACACUUAGAUUUUAAAUUAUUUAUUGUUGAUUAUUAAAUAUAGAGUCUUCCAUUCAUUUAUGGUAACAGUUUCCUUUCGUGACAUAAUAAUCCAUUGUGUAAUAUUAUUUCUUAUUCAAAUAUUUUCAUUUGCCAUAAUUUAUAUAUAAUGUUACGUAAAGUUUCUUAUUGGCUUUCUCUUAUCCUUAACCAUUGUGUCCAGUUGCUGGUAGAUCUAUAUGUUGAUCAACUUCAAUGACUAUACGUUGAUCAACUAAAUCUUACCAUCCGUGAAAGCCAACUUCAUUUGGAGAUAGAAGUGAAUCCUUGAAUCUUACAGACUACUUAGACUUGAUGAUCAACUACAUAACAUGUGGUUAGUAUCAUCUUCAGAACAAUAAUUUUUGGAGCAAUCUAUCAAUCUAGCAGUCAGGUAAAGAGAUAUUAUGACCCAGCCUUGUUUUACAAUACAAGACCAUUCAAAAGAUGGCAAAAUAUAUAGUGGAUGUCUCUUCAACUAUCCAACUUCUUAAAUUCCUUGUGCUCUGAUGCAAUGACAAAGGGCCUUUACUUAGCAGAAGCAGAAGAAGUGCCUAGUACAGAUGCAAUGCCUUGCUUUGUCUUUCCAACAUUUUCUCCUUAAGUAACAUGACAUUGGGAUACAACAUGCUUCCUAAGCAUGUGCAGCUAGUGUCUCUCACAACUGGUUACUUCACCAUUGCAUCUUUCAAUCAAUUUGAGAACUCAUGUUUCAUCUUAACAGCUUAUCAGGGAACAUGGUAACUAGUAACACAUACCAACAAUAUUAUUCAUUUAAAUUGAAAUGAAUUACCAAUUCUUUUCAACAUAGUCAAUGACUGUGUUGCCCAUCAUUAGAUGCUGGAAAAGUGGUUAAAGCGAUCAAAAUUUAACUUUGUUUGAAAUCCUAAAAGAUGUCAAAUACAACCUCGAACAUGAGAAAGCUGGCUAGCACUAUUGUCAAAUUAUUAAGAUCCACAAUCCAGAUUAGAUGGCCUUCAUUGAGCUUUUGUGGGAUCCCUAGAUCUAGAGGAACUUGGAACAAACAAUUCAUAGUAGAUUGUGAGAUCUUGAUCGUGGAUCCUAAUGCACUUUGGAUCCUAGAACCCAGAUCUGUGUCAUGUUAUUACGUUUAAAGCAAUUAGAAUUCCAACAUUAUAAGGUGCCUUGGUUUGUUUGGCUGUUAAAAGAGCAUUUCAUUAUUAUUAAGCAUCCAAACCUAAAAUCAGUAAUUUAACUUUGAGCAUCCACUCAGUGAUUUAACAGUCCGCAACUAUUUACUCUUUCCUAAUGUUGCUUUUAGAAAAUAAGUUUGCUUUCACCUUAGAAAGUUUCCACUUGAAGGUUUUGUUUCAUUUGAAUGUCAUAAAUUAAAAAGUUAAAAUAAUAAGUACUUUACAUUCACCAUACCUUGAGAACAAGAAAGUGGCAUUUUGAUAAAGGGUACUGCCAUUGACAAGAAAAGCAUAAAAGGAUUUGCAGUGCUAAUUAGAAAUUGAUUGGUUAGGAUUUGUUUGUAAUCAUUUCAAUAAGUUGGCUUAAUUAUGUAUUUUACUAUUAUACUAAAUGCAAAUUGGACUUCUAACAUUGCCAACUGAUACUUUUGCCAUCGAAAAAAAUGCAUAAAAUCCUAGGAGGCAAGACAUGAUUUGUCAUGAUCAGUUUAGAUUCAUCUUAUUUCUCUUAAUUUUUAAUGUUUCCUGAUCGUGGAUUUUGUGUCUAUUUAAUGUUUCUGUUUCAAGUAUUUAGUUAAGUUUAUAUUAAAGGAUCAUGUGGCUGAUGUAUGUAGUAAUCUUUGUCAUGCAUGUGUAUAUGCCAUUCUCAAAUAUCAUUGGAUUAUAUGCGAGCAAUGUGCCAGCAAUGUGCCAGCAAAAAAUGCAUUGCCUUAUUGCAUCCUUGUGACACACUUGAGAAGCUAUAUGGUUUGCCAAGGUAUGUGACUACUCCAAACAGAUGCUGCACAAAAUCUACCUAAUCUACGAGUAUUUUAUUGGAUUAACUAGUCUUGCUCAUGAAUCUUUGUAAAAGUUAUCAUUCGAGAGCAGUAUAAAACAAUAUCAGCAUCUUAAGAUAGAUGAGGCUUGUUGAAGUCUUAAGAACCCUUUGAAGUUUCAGUAUAUACAGCUCAAAUCAAGUGAAGAGAACCUCAAGAAAAUUCAUGCCAGUUUCCCUCAACUCCCCAACCAUUAGUCUUGUAGGAACAUUCUUGAUUUUGAAGAAAGCAAGGAUAACCUUUUGGACUUUUAGCCAACCUAAAUAUAAAAAUUUGAUCUUCCUGAUAACAUGACCUUGUUGAAUCCUGACACCGAAUGACAGAAUUUGAUAUACUGAUUCAUGGCUGAGUUAUGCCUUCUAUUCUUAUGCUUGGUAGAAGCAAUCCAUUUUUUGUAAGAUUGGGUUCUGUUAACUGAUUGGGGUCAUGAUUGAUAGCAACAUCUUUUCAAGUUGCAGUGCUAUACAAUGUGCCAUCUGCUUGACAAUGCAAUCAAAUUCUUAGAUCAUUAUGAGUCUAUUUUGCCUUAGAACCAUAGACUAUGUGGAACAUUGCUGGUUGAGAUAUACCAUUCUAUGCUAAUAUAGGCACUAGACGCUAGGUUUGCGCCAAUUGGUACUAAGCCAAGAGGGGAUUGGACCCUUCUUUUAUAAUAUGAAGAGUGUGGCAUGACAAGGCAUAACACAUGCCAUCAGCGGACAGGUGUUUUCCAUGCCAUUGGAACCUAAGUCAUUGCCUAAGAUUCUGCUGAUGACUCAAUAUCGAAUAUUUGCAGCCCUUUUUUUUAGUCAUAUUUUCCAUCUACUUUAUAAUCCUACUCUACAGAAGAACUCAUGUUAUUGACAUUUCUGCUUGGAUCAACAUGAAUCUUUAACACCCAUGAAUUGUGUCAUGUGUAAGAAGAAAAAGAAAUUGUUGGAUACUUAACAUACCUCCUAUUAAACUCGCCACAACUAUUUUACAAGGAUUCGGGUAGUGUCUAAAAUGCGGGUGAAUUUUCAAGAAAUUCUUCUUUGUGGAUGGUGUAUUCUUGUAUUGUACGAUGGCCAUGAUGAAGUAUCAGGUACAGGUACGAGAAGGUAAAUCAUGGUUAGUAUAACACAACCACCUAGUAGGAUAACAUGAAACAAAUCCUCAGCAUAUUCCAUAAUGACCUAGUAGGUAUAUAUGACAAACGCAGACCAUUCUGGUUGAAUUGCUUGAGCAACCCUGGGCCCACUUACGGUCAAACUCAAUUCCUAACAUAGGCCAAACUUAGGCUUGAUGGUUUAUGAAGGCAAUGGAAAUUCAGCAAGGGUGCCAAAGGCAUGUACAACAAUGAUUUCUAUCUAAGGUAACAAUUGAUAUAGGAUAAUAUGUCAAGACAACUAAUAGCUAAGAGCUAAAAGGAAAACAAAUUUGCGUAAGAGGCUCCUUGGUGAACCAUGUUAUUAUUGGGGUGGCAAAGAGGAGGGAAAGUGGAGGAGGAUAGAUAGUGAGAAGGAGACAGGAAUCAAGAGAAAAGGGGAGAGUGCAUUAAGGAUAAUGGUUUUCAUGUAGAAAAUAUAUAAAUAUUUUAAUCACAUCAAUAUAUUUGUAUGUACUGGAUAACAAAUUAGUUAACGACAUGUAAUUAAAAUUUCAAACUUCAAGCCAUGCUUGUUAUUGGGCUGAAGGCAGUCCAUAUCAAGUCUGAACCUUUUUUGGGAGUUUGAGCCUAGCUCAGCCUUUAAGUUCAAAUAUCCUUGAACAAAAUGGUGGUUCAAGAGGCCUGACAUCUUAAUCCCAUUUCCAAAUUCAAACUAAAUUAGAUGGCCAUACAUCUUAAAGAUGGAAAUAACCAAACAGUUAAUAUCACCCACACAAAAUGACAUUCUACAUUUGAACUGUUUCUCUCUUUUGCUUUUGUUCCUUUUUCAAAAUUAAUCUUCUUGGUACAUUCUUACGUGGAAACAUUUUAUUUUUAUGCAGUGUAAAAUCUAUCCUAAGAAUUGAUCUUCCUAUACUUUCUGCAUCUAACCAGAACCACAUCCUUUUGGUCCCUUGGUUGGAUCAAAACUACUUUAAAACCACAAGCUCAUAUAACCCAUCCAAACCCUAAUAUUAUAUUUUAAUCCAUGUGAUAUCCUGAAAUUCAAUAUUAUUGCUACCAUCAUUUGCUUCCUUCAUAUCAAAGUCGUAAGAUCCCUUAAUGACUGAAAUUAUGACUCGUAUCAUCCUCAAAGCAAUGUUUGAUAUGAAAUGUGAUAAUAUCUGUCCUUUGAGGGAGGUGUAUUCAUAUAUUUGAUGAUUGUUAGAUAUGAUCACAUGAAUGUUCAUACUUGUAAAAGAAGUUGCGAAAAUGAUGCAGUUUUAAAAUAGUUAUUUUCCAUAUGACCUAUUGGGGAUGGCCUAUAAUGUGUGGAAGGAAUUGAAGGAUUUGAAAAACCAGGGUUCAGGCCAAGAAAUCACCCUGCUGUCCUAUUACAUAAAAUAGGGCCAAAGGUGAUAUUUGGUCCAAAGGUGUCAAGAUGGUUAGAAUUUUUCUGUUUUAGGUCUUAGAUGAGGUACAGGUCUGUAACAACAAGUUUAUUCAAAAACUUCUCAGUUCGUAUUGGUCUGUAGUGUUCCUUUAACAGAAACUCAGAUCACAAUAUAUACAUAUGCACACACAUAUACAUAUAUGUAUACACACACAAAAGAUAGAACCAGAAGAGAGAGAUACAGAGAGAGAGAGAGAGAGGCUGAACCGAGCCUAAGGAAAUUCAUUAGAAUUGUGCCUUAAAGUAAAAUAUAUCUUAGGUUCUAUCCUCUUUCCUCCUUAUUGUUUUCUUCCAUUUUUCCAGCUUGUCCUUCUAUUCUAUAGUUCUCUUCCCCUCCUUUUCUUCUUUUCUGCAUGUAUUACAACAUCAGUAACCAAUAGCUAGAGCUAGCAGACACUAUUAUCAGUGGUAAAAUAUGCUCACUUUCUACAAGUCCUUUUCUAAAAUUUUUCUAAUUAAUGUCUCUUCUUUUUUCAGUGUCCAACUUGAGCUUUAACUAGACCAUUUGUCUAGCCUUGACCCUCUAUUUGGUACAAAUGAUAGAUUGGAGGAAGCAUGGAUAUAAGAGGAAGGAUGGAUAAGGAAGGAUAUGUUUGGUGCAAUAUGGAAGGAUGGAUGGAAAUGAUUUUCUUCCUUGUUUGGUAUAGGAAGACUGAAAGAAAAGAUGAUGAUAUUUAUAUGAUAUUUUUACUAAAAUAUCUUUUGAUACAAAUAUUAUUAUUAUCAAUUAUAAAACUUAUCUAUACUAAAGAAGUAGAGCAAUGUAUAAACUUAUAAUUUUUAUAAUUAUAAUUAUAUAAAUAUUAAAUAAUAUUUAAUUUUAAUUUAAUUUAAUAAAUAAUUUUCUAAAUUAGUUAUAUAUGAAUUAAUUUAUUUAUAUAUUGAUUAUAUAAAUAACUAAUUAGUUUAUAAUUUUAUUUAAAUAGUUAAUUGAUUUUGUACAAAUAGUAAAUAUAUAUACAAAAGUAGAAGAUAAUUCUAAUUAUUUACUUAUAAUUAUAGAAGUUAUGUACAAAAAUUAAAAUAAUUAAUAAUAAAAUUAUAUAGAAUAGGAUUAAUAGUAUAGAUGAAAUAAAAAAUAUAUAAAUAAAAUGAAUGAAAAGGUGAAGAAAUGUUAUAGUUUUAUCAAAAGAGUAAUGAAGAAAAAUUUUAUCAACAUAGAAACCUACCCUUCAUAUGCUCCAUCUAUCUUUCUUUGCAUCCUUCCAAAAUGAGAGGAUGCAAGUUAGUAGGCUUAGGUGGAUAGGCAAUCUCUCUUUUCAUCCAUCCUUCCAAAAAUUUUUUUAAACUAAAUGAUGGAUGGAGGCCAUCCAUCCUUCCUCUCAUGACCCUAACUAAUCAUAGGGUAAGGGCAUACAUUUGGACUUGAGCAACGAUUUGGAAGUAUAUAUUCCUAUGGAUUUGAAGGAUCUAACAUUUAGGAAUGCACCAGCUCCCUCACCCAAUACACCCACCUGAGUUCCACAUAAUGUCGUGUGAUUAGAACCCUUGGACCCCUAUCAAGCAGAUGAUAACUUGGCCUAACAUCCUUCACUCGAUCUCCCCAACCCUUUGAAACCUAAAGUCCAACCCGUUUCCUUUCCUAAUCCAAUACUUUGAUGUAGAGACCCUCUUUUCACAUAAUAAUUCUAUUUGGUGCAAGGUAGCUUCCUAAUUUUGUUGGGCCUCUAAAAUUGUUGUUGUCUAAAAUAUUUUAUAAUAUAUACUUCUUUGCAAAUAUUAUUUCUUUAGUUUGUUCUAACAUGUUGAUGGAGUACCUAAAAAGUAGAUCAUUCUCAAGGGAGAAAUUACAGGGUUCUUUAUUAUGCAUAUACUUGUACAGUCAGCUAGUUGCUUGUUGAAUAGAUUCAGAAACGAAGACUGCAAAUCAGAUUUUUCUUCUAACCUUUCACCUUGUCCAUUUUCCUAAAUCAGAUAUCUUGUUUUCUUAUUAAAAGUCAAAUAGAAAUUUACACUUCUCUCAAAUGAGAACAAGAGAAUGAUACUUGUAACCCUACACAAGUAUUGAGUCAUGAACAAGAUCAUAUAUAAAAAAAUGUAUCAUAGUUUAAUGCCACUAGUGAGAUAGCAAAAAGCUUUUGCUACUAAAACAAAUAUACCUGCCACUUUGGCCUGCUAAUAUGCAGAGAAUCCAUAUUGAGCAAGUCAUUAAGAUCAUCGAGCUCUAUACAAGCAUCUGUUAUUGCAUCAGCCAAGCCUCUGUCAUCAUCAGCAUUGAAGAAACACCCUCUUUUUUUAGCGUCAUGCACUAACCUUCCCCAAAUUGACUCACUGUUAGUUAGAGUUGGGCCAUUUCCUAGAAUCCAUAAACAGUGCCUGCCAUAGAAUUGCAACAGUUACAUAUUAAAAGAUCAACUUAAAUAAAUGUUCUAAAAUAAACUGAGUGGAAGCAAACAACAUUGAAGUCUGAUUUGAAGGGAAAAUUAACAUACUUGGCCCUUGUAAGAGCCACAUUUGUCCGCUGAGAGUUAGACAAGAAGCCCACUGAACCACUUUUAUUGGACCUUACUGUAGAAAUAAUUAUAAUAUCUUCUUCACCACCUUGAAACCCAUCAAUGGUCUUCACGUUCACAUGGAAGUCUUCAUACCUAUCAUAUGUGUAUCCUAGUUUUUCUUGAAUUGCAACUACUUGUGCCUUGUAUGGCGAUAUGACGCCUACACUAAUUUUCUGCCCAGAAGUAAGAGAAGCUGCAACAAAUUCAACAAAAGUAAAAAUUGAUAACCUUAAAAUAAAACAUAAAAGAAAUAAUUGUAUCUCUGAACAUAGAAGAUUUGGGAAAAAGUUACAAACACUGUUGAAAACUGGUUCAACAAGAAAAAGAAAAUUCAAGGUAAUCCAAAUGCGUGAUAUUUAUACAAUUUAUGCUUUAAUUAUUAAAGCAGCAUCAAUGUCUUGGCACUAUAAACUCUAUGGCCUGUAUAUGAUUGCUUUUUGUAUGUCUCCACACCGAAGUUUUUGUUAAGUGAGAACUCAUAGGAUAGAGGCAAGGACCAGAUAUGAUUGUGUAUUAGGAAUUCGAGGAAUGAUCUCUGAUAACAAUUCAUUACGUCACAUUCCAAAAUUUGCUUCUUUAGUUAAGUGGUAUCAGGACAUCCUUUAUGACCAAUUGGCAUUAUUGGAUCACCAAAACAUGACCACAAUACAUAUAAUAGUAUUAUGACCUUGACCACAUUCAAUGAAGCUCAUGGCCUUUAAGAGUACUUAAGUAGUUCGGUCUGCAUGCAAUAUUGAAAGGAUCAUAAAUUUUAGAUAUUUGUGGUGCUUUUCAUAUGAACUUUUAUGUUUGUUAGGCUGUAUUGGUUUUUUCAUCCUCUUAUAUUCUUUUAUUUAAUGUACUAUGUCUUUACAUUUAACUUACAUAUUUGUUUUAGAAAAACAUGUUACAUGCUCAAGUCACUUAGUGACUUACCUGAGUGGAGUAGUUAGGAGAAAGGUCUGCAAAGACAUCCUAAACCACCUGUACUGAGGCAUGUUGUAUCAUAUCAAUGUGGAAUUAGGAAGGUUCUUUGGAUUAGUAAGGUAUAUGAAUAGAACAGGUCCAAACCCUUCCAAAUCGAGUGAAACAAACUUGCACCACCCAGUGCCAACACAUACCUUUUGGUUUUGGAGGGUGUCAUGGUUGGACGUGAGAAAAAAGGUCAUGAACUUGCAUCAGUAUGGAAUGUGUACCAUAUUCAAACAAAUUUGUAAGGUACCAGUACCAUACCUGAUAAGUUAUGCCGACCUUGGUUAGUAGUUGAGAGAGUCCAUGUCAUUGGUUUUCUAAUCUUGUUUUCACAUUUAGAGCCUGUUUGGCAACAUCCUACCAUAUUCGGCAGGAUAGAUGAAGGAAGAGCACUAUGGUGGGCGUGGUUGGGGGUGGGGGCUGGUGAAGAAUGUAGUAGUAGAAAGGGAGAAAGAGUGCACAGGGGGUCCAGGACAUGAUUGCCACAAGAAGGAAGAAAAGGCCUCUCACAGUAUCGAUUUUUGUCUUGCAGGGAGUGGGACCUAUGGCCUCCCUGCACUCUUCCUCUCCUCACACGCUAGGUUACUUCAUUCCUCUCUCCAUCCUAUCCUACCAGAACUUGCUGGGUCUGGCAGCAUCUACCCAAACAGGCCCUAGUCUUAUACAGGACAAUUUUGUGUGUUAGAUGGGCUUUGUUUACAAUGAAUACUUCAAUUGUUGGUCAGCAUUCUAGUUGUGAUUGCUCCCAGUCAUGAGAGUACCUGGCUAACAAACCCAGUACAAGUUAGCUUUGUGAGUUGUCAGCCACUAUGAGCAGCAUUUUUUCUAUUUGAUCUCCUUUUUGAUUGUUGUGUAUUUUCAAUAGGUAAGAAGAAUGAGUUGCAUCAAUUCUGUUAUUCCCCAGUCUGACUUUUCUUUUUUAGAAUAUAUUUGUCCUUACCUUAAACUCUCAGUUUCUUGCGAUUGCCACAUCUUUUCUUGUUUAAGCUGCUUUAUUAUGCUUACGGAAGAAUCAUGUAGAUUAUAUUCCGGAUAUUCUAUGAUAUGAAGAAUCAUGCAGAUUAUAUUUUGAAUAUUCUAUGAUAUGAAGAAUCAUGCAGAUUAUAUUCUGAAAAUUAUAUAUAUCUAUUGGAUACUCUAUGAUAUCUAGAAUCAUGCAGAUUAUAUUCUGAAGAUUAUGCCGAUAUUAUGCCAAUCCUUGAUAUCUCUUGAUAUCUCCUUCUUUUUGUAUUCUCUUGUGUAUAUAGUCAUAAUUCUACCUUAGAUUCAUUAUAUCUCUUCUCUAUAAAUUGUACUCUACUGUAUCAUCAAGAAUUCAUUGAAAUCAAAUAUAGAAAUAAACAAUCAUUUUUCAUGUCUUUUAUGGUAUCAGAGCAGGACGUUAUUCUGCUCCUGUGGUCGCCCUAGUGUAGUCACUGCUCAUAUGCCGUUGCUGCCCAUACGCCGCUGCUUUCCUGUAUUUUUUCACCAUGUCUGACGUCUCCUCCCAAUCAACUCCAUCUACCAACCCAGGUCCUGCUGUCGUGACCCAUGCUCCUCGGAUCCCUUCUACUGCUGAAUUUCAUCCAAUCUAAAUUACCACCAUUCAACUCAAUGGUGAUAACUUCUUACGCUAGUCUCAAUCGGUACACAUGUACAUUCGAGGAAGAGGCAAAAUUGGCUACAUGACAGGAGAUACACCGGCUCCGAACAGUGCAGAUCCGACCUACUCAACCUGGGAUGCUGAAAACUCAAUGGUAAUGACUUGGCUUGUGAAUUCAAUGGACGAGGAUAUUAGUUCCAAUUACAUGUGUUAUCAGAAUGCUUAAGAACUGUGGGAUAAUGUUAUCCAAAUGUAUUCUGAUUUGGGUAAUCAAUCUCAAAUAUAUGAACUUACUCUGAAACUUGGAGAAGUCCAGCAAGGAAGCGACACUGUCACUAAAUACUUCAAUUCUCUGAAAUGAAUAUGGCAAGAUCUGGAUCUGUUCAAUGAUUAUGAGCGGAAGUCUCUUGACGAUUGCAAACACAAUCAGAAAAUUAUGGAGGCUAAUCGAGUCUUAAAAUUUUUUAUUGGUCUUAAUGUCGAAUUUGAUGAGGUUCGAGGAAGGAUUAUUGGACGAAUACUCUGCCUUCACUUAAUGAAGUUUUUUUAGAGGUUCGUUGGGAGGAAAAUCGCAGAUCAGUAAUGCUCGGAAAAAAGAAUAAUGGCAUGAGUGGUCUGACUGAGAACUUCACGUUGGUUGCUGCUGAAGCCAAUGCUAGUAGACGGAGUGUCCCUGAUCAGCACAAGCACGAUGAGAAGCCUCAGGUAUGGUGUGAUCAUUGUAACAGACCACAUCAUACUCGAAAAACUUGCUGGUUGCUUCAUAGAAAAUCAGCCAAUUGAAAAUCAAAAUCUCGACGAUCACAAAACACUGCCACUGUAGCUGACUUGGGUCCACUCAACAAAGAGCAGAUUGAUCAACUUCUAAAACUACUAAAGGCUAAUCCAUCAUCAUCUGGUACACCUAAUUGUUCUUUGACCCAUUCAGGUAGAAAUUCCUUGGCCCUUUCAAGUACUUUGAAUUCCGCUCUAUGAAUCAUUGAUUCGGGGGCUUCUAAUCAUAUGACCAGUUUGUCUAAUCUAUUUGUUUUAUAUACUCCUUGUUCUAGUAUUGAAAAAGUACGAAUAGCAGAUGAUAGUCUUUCAUCUAUUGCAGACAAAGGUCUAAUCAAAAUAUUUGAAAAUAUUAGUCUUAAAGCAGUACUUCAUGUCCCUUAACUUGCUUGCAACCUGUGAUCUGUCAGUAAAUUUUUGGAGAACUCUAACUGCUGUGUUACCUUCUGUGGCUCCUAUUGUACAUUUCAGGACCGGAUUUUGGGGAAGAUGAUUGGCAAUGCUAGAGAGAUAAACGGACUGUACUAUUUCAAUGAGAAUUUGUUCGGUAAUAAAAAAGCUUAAGGGCUGAGUAGUACUUGUUCAAUUUCUAUUUCUGACUAAAUAAUGCAAUGGCACUUUAGACUAGGCCACCUAGUUUUUCUUAUUUAAGAUGCUUAUUUCCUAAAUUGUUUAAAGGAAUAGAUUAUUCUAUGUUUCAAUGUAAAAGUUGCCAUUUAUCUAAAGAUCAUCGUGUUAAAUUUGUUUCAAAAUCUUAUAGUCCUUCCAAACCAUUUUACUUAAUUCAGAGUGAUGUUUGGGGACCGUCAAAAGUUACCACUUUAUCUAGAAAAAGGUGGUUCGUAACUUUUAUUGAUGAUCACUCUAGGUUGUGUUGGAUUUACUUACUAAGCAAAAAAUCUGAAGUGAAAAGAUUUUUCAAAGAGUUCUAUUAUAUAAUCGAAAUCUAGUUUAAUUCAAACAUUUGCAUUGUUUGAUCAGACAACAAAACUGAGUAUUUUAAUGAGUAUUUAGGGAAAUUUUUAAGAGAUAAAGGCAUUCUACAUCAAUCAACAUAUCAUGAUACUCUCCAACAAAAUAAUAUUGCUAAAAGAAAAAAUAGGCACUUACUUGAAGUUGCUAGGGCCCUCAUUUUUUCUAUAAAUAUUCUUAAAUACCUCUGGGAAGAUGCUGUUUUAACUGCCUCCUACUUGAUCAACAAAAUGCCAACUCGUGUUUUGAAAUUUAAAACCCCUUUACAUACUUUAAAGACAUCUUUUUUGAAUUUUCGGUUGUACUCUGAGUUGCCUUUAAAAAUAUUCGGAUGCAUUUGUUUUGUUCAUGUUUCACAAUUUUUUCGAUCCAAAUUGGAUUCCAAAGCUGAAAAAUAUGUUUUCAUUGGAUAUGCUCCAAAUAAAAAAAGGUAUAAGUGUUUUAAUCCACUAACAAAGAAGACUUAUGUCAGCAUGGAUGUAUCUUUUAUGGAAAAACAAUUCUAUUUCAAUAAAAAUCAUCUUUAGGGGGAGAAUAUUGAAGAAGAUAAUUUUUGAAAAAAUUUAAACCACUACCAAAUUUCAUUGAAACUCCAAUUCACUUUGAUAAAUAAAUCAAGGAAAUAACUGAUCCAAACAAUGAAGAAAAGGAUUUGUUUAGUCCACAGGUGUCGGGCAUGAUGGAAUUUGAAACAGGAGGAGAAUUACUGCACAUGGAUCUGAGUAAUCCGAAAUCUGAGCUUCUGGCUUAUACUAGAUGAAAGCCUUAGAGAAGUACUAUUGAUCCAAAUAUAUCUCCUACUACUGGUCAGUUAGCCCUCCUGAAUAAUGGUCCUCCUUUCGCUAAAGGUAAUUCUAAAUCUACUCUUGAGUUGUCUGACCUUGAUGUUCCAAUUGCCCUAAAAAAAGGAACAAGAUCUUGCACCAAUCAUCCUAUUGCCAAGUAUUUGUCUUAUCAAUAAUUGUCCAAUAACCAUAAAGCAUUUAUUUCAAAUAUUUCUAACCUGCAUGUACCAAGAUCUAUUUAGGAUGCCCUAGGUGAUCCGGAUUGAAAACUAGCAGUGGAGGAGAUGAAUGCUCUUGAAAAGAAUGAGACUUGGGAGAUUGUAGAACUACCAAGAGGCAAAACAAUGGUGGAAUGCAAGUGGAUCUUUACUGUAAAGUGCAAGGCAGAUGAAAGCAUUGAAAGAUACAAAGUCAGACUUGUUGCCAAGAGGUUCACUCAAACUUAUGAUAUUGACUAUCAGGAGAUCUUCACCCCAGUUGCAAAAAUAAACUCAAUCCGAGUUCUUCUUUCUUUGACGGUAAACUCUAAUUGGUCUCUAUACCAACUUGACGUAAAAAAUAUCUUCCUAAAUGGAGACUUGGAGGAAGAAAUAUUUAUGGAUCUACCAUUUGAUUUUGAGGACUUCGGAACAAACAAGGUAUGUAGACUGAAAAAGUCUUUGUAUGGACUCAAACAGUCACUUAGAGCGUGGUUCGAGAGGUUUAGGAAGGCAGUAAAAAGCUACGGUUAUAUCCAAAGUCAAGCUGACCAUACAUUGUUCUUCAAGCACUCGAAAAUUGGUAAACUAGCUAUUUUGAUUGUGUAUAUAGAUGAUAUAAUAAUGACUGAUGAUGAUAGUGCCGAAAUUGUAGAACUUCAGCGAAAACUUGUACAUGAGUUUGAGAUCAAAGACUUGGAGGCUCUAAAGUACUUCCUUGGCAUGGAAUUUGUAAGAUCCAAGGAGGAAAUCUUUGUCAACCAACGAAAGUAUGUCUUGGACUUAGUGAAACUGGAAUGCUCGGAUGCAAGACAGUCAAAACUUCAAUAGAGCCCAACUUGAAGUUGCAACCUGUAGAAAUCGAGGUGGUAGAUGGAGAAAAGUACUAAAGACUUGUGGAUAAACUCAUCUAUUUAUCACAUACUCAUCCUAAUAUAGCUUUUGCAGUGAGUGUGGUAAGCCAGUUUAUGUAUUCAUCAGGAUCAAAACACUUUGAGGCUGCCUAUAGAAUCUUCAGGUACCUAAAGGGGAUACCUGGAAAGAGAUUGCUAUUUCGAAAUAGAGGAUAUUUGCAAAUAGAAGCUUACAUCGAUGCAGACUGGGCUGGAAGUGUAACUGAUAGAAGAUCAACUUCUGGCUAUUGUACUUUUAUGGGAGGUAAUCUUGUCACCUGACGAAGCAAGAAACAGAAUGUAGUAGUCAGAAGUAGUGCUGAAGCUGAGUUCUGUUCAGUAGCCCAUAGAAUUUGUGUAGUGAUAUGGAUAAAAAGAUUACUUGAAGAAUUAAAGUUUUUUUAUCCCCUCACCAAUAAAAGUCUAUUGUGAUAAUAAAGCUGCCAUCUCUAUUAUUGCUCACAACCCAAUCCUCCAUGACAGAACAAAACAUGUAGAAGUGGACAAACAUUUCAUCAAGGAGAAGCUUGACAAUGGAAUAAUUUGUAUGCCAUACAUUCCAACAAUUGAUCAAGUUGCUGAUAUUCUCACUAAGGGGUUGUAUAAGAAACAGUUCGAGGAUCUAGUAAGCAAACUUGCCAUGGAAGAUAUCUUCAAACCAGCUUGAGGGGGAGUAUGGAAGAAUCAUGCAGAUUAUAUUCUGGAUAUUUUAUGAUAUGAAGAAUCAUGCAGAUUAUAUUCCGAAUAUUCUAUGAUAUGAAGAAUUAUGCAGAUUAUAUUCUGAAGAUUAUGCAUAUCUAUUAGAUAUUCUGUGAUAUCAAGAAUCAUGCAGAUUAUAUUCUGAAAAUCAUGCUGAUAUUAUGUCGAUCCUUGAUAUCUCCUUCCUUUUGUAUUCUCUUGUGUACAUAGUCAUAAUUCUAGCCUAGAUUCAUUGUAUUCCUUCUCUAUAAAUUAUACUCUACUGUAUCAUCAAGAAUUCAUUGAAAUCAAAUACACAAAUAAACAAUCAUUUUUCACGUCUUUUAAUUUUUGAGGGAACUUACUGCACUAUGACUCAAAGUAAGAUCAGCUCUUAAAUCUCUCUGGACUCUUUGGAGUAGUGAAAAUAUCAGCAAAAUUCAUGUGGUUAGGAUCGAUGUGUUAUUACUAAUUGUUUAUGCAUCUGGAAAGAAAAGAACUCGAGGAUUUUUUUCUUUCUGUAGAAAUUUUCCUCAGUUGACUCUAUCCUAUGUUUGGCACUUCACCUGUCCGAAGAUUGCUUCGCCCUGAAUGGUUCUAGUGCGUGAAUUGGUUUUCUUUCUGUUUGGGAGGAGCUAGCUGCCCUCAUAUGCACCAUGUCUGCUCCCAGAUCUCUUUCCUCCCUAUUGCUCCUUUUCUACUGUAUGCUUCCUUUUCUUUUGUCCUUCAUCACUUGUAAAUUUCCUCACUAUUUUUCUUAAUCUUUAAUUAAUCAGGUGGGCUUGUAGACACCAGACGAAGAGGUGGUUUAUCAAAAUUUUAAGAAUCAAUAUAUUUCUAAACCAUAUCAGAUAGAUCUCUCACCCCUUUCCCUCAAAAAGAUAGAUCUCUCACCCCUCCUCCUGCUACCAUUGGGCUUCCUUUCUGAACCUUCAUGAGAAAAGUGCUUCAAAAGCACAUGUUCAAGCAUGAGAUGCCGAGAAUUAAUCUACAGUUACAAGAAUUACUAUCUUACUGAUUAUUGAUUAAUCCAAAGUUUAUGGAUAUGGUUAUAAAGGACAAAUCUUCUACUUUCGGUCAACUGCUAUGAACCUUUAAUACUCAGAACCAUAUCAGAUUUGUGUUUUCAAGCACGUUAAUAGAAUGUAUACAGUCCGUUUUUAAUAUGUUUCAUAUAUGAAGUUUUAUAAAAGUGUAUUUGCAUCAGACCAAAAAUUCUUCUUUAACAAUCAUUGGAGAUAAACAUGAACUACUGUGAGCAGUGACUUUUAGGUUAAAAGGAAUGGGAAAUUAUAUGUAUGUUGCAAAAAACAUACCUUUGAAUAGGUCCUUCACAAUAUGCAAAACCGCAGCUACCUCAAUCAUAUUUUUCCAUCUCUUUCCAAUAUUAUCUGUAGCUUCUUUUCCACGUUCAAUAUUUAUAAAUGAAUAGGAUCCAUAAAUUGCUCCGUGUAGAUAAUGCUUUUCAUAGCUCUUACAGAUGACGUUUGGGCCAUCCAAAAUUUUAUUAUCAUAGAAGUUUGAAUUUGGAAAUUUGCUUAUGGAAGGAUGCAUUCGGUAUUGCACAUCAAGAAGGUGCUUUUUUUGCCCUAGUGAACAAAGUCUCUCGAAAAGGCUUCUUCCAAAUCCAGCAUUCUCAGAAACCUACAUAGUAAUGUUAAAGAUAAGAGGUGUAACAUUUGGUAAGUAAAAAACAGAAAGACCAACUGAUACAAAGAGCCAAACAGACUUUGCUUUUAACCAUGGCAGGAAGCUGGUAUUCAUCACCAAUAAGAACAGCAUGCUGUACGCCUAGUAACUGUAGAGGUAUUAAUGAUUCACAUUCUUUCAGCUGUGCAGCCUCAUCGACAACCAACAUCUCUAGUGGACUCUUUAUCUCCAUGCCAUGCAGCUUAAAAGAACUAGAAGCGGUGCUGAAUAAAAGGGUUGCUCUCUGCAAACAAAACUCUUCGAUUGAACGUUUGUCAAUAAAAGCUGGGACAUGAAGAUGUUCUGAAAGGUACUUUAAUAUUAUAAGUAAGAAAUAUCUUGUCUGAUGUAGCUCAAAUGUUGUAGUUUUACUGGCUUGUAUGUUGUUCAGCAAAUUCACAGGUAAAGAGAUCUCACAAUCUUCAUGGUAUGUCAGUUCAAAUAGAUCUUCCAGCUUUUUGUCGGAGACAGCUUCUGAGAAUAACAGAUGUCCAAAUGUUUCUAUAACCUUCGGCACAAGGUUCAUGCAUUUAAAGAUGUCCUCAGAAGUGGAAUCACUUGGCAGAUCCUCAGACAAUGUUCUGAUACAUUGACUAAGGUUUUUUGAAAGAAUACUAAAUCGGCUUAUAACAUACUCACUAAGUGUCAUCUUUAUUCUCUCAGUUUCUUCUUCUUCUUCUUCUCCUUCUUCAGUUUCAAUAUAUAUUUUGUACUGAGAAACAGCAUUCUCCAAAAAAAAUGUCAAUGAAUUUAUGCAUUGCCUCCAACCUGUUAGUGGUGCUAAACACUUCAAAAGCCUCUUGACACGAUUAUCCAAAAAUACCAUAGAGAGAUCAUCACCAAUAUUCAUCCGAUCCUUGUUUCCGAUUAGCACUAGAUCUCCCAAUGAAUAGUCAUCAUCAUCUGAAAACUCUCUGAUUAACCUAAGGAGGCGUGAUGCAACUUCCAAAAUUGCUGUAUUUGUAGGAGCACAUGUAAGUGUUCUGCAUCUUUUAGCUAGCAGAGUCCAUAAAAGAGUACUGAUUGUUUUUGUUUUCCCAGUCCCAGGAGGUCCCCAUAUGAGUUUAAUGGAGUUAUGCCUCCGCUGUCUUGCUGAAAUACAAUCUAACACAGCAGUCAACUGUGAAUCAUUUAGCUUGAACUGUUGUAAACUAUCACGUACCUUCAUAUCAUGAAAAUAGGAAGAUUCUUCAGAUGAAGUUGAACUACAAUCUCCUGCCAUCUGUUGUGGGAAAAAAUUAAAGCAUCAACUAACAAGUUCGGGCAAAACGUCAGUGUAGGACUAGGAACUUCAUGAUAAUGUCAAGUCUUUUGUAAAUAAAAAGCAUUGUGGUGUCGCUGUGAACAACUGCCAGAUGAGCAAUGCAGCACCCUUUCUUCUUGAUCAACCACUUAAUGUUGACUUAUAUUUCAUGUUGCUACGCAAUAUAUGAGUUUUUUUUUUUUUUUAUAAUAGUUGAUCCUUAAGCAUGAGAUUGAUGCACAUAAAGGUUUCCUUCUGUAAUAUCAUCAAUAUGAGUUGAACUGAACACUUCAUGGGCAAAGACAAGAUAAUAUUAGCUAAAUGUACAUAUUAACAUGAAAUCAAAAUCAGUUUCCUACAUACCGAAGAGUCAUAACGUAGGAUCUUCUUGAUGAUGUUAGUGUUUCUUUGCUUCGCGAUUUCUUGAUCAAGUGACUUCCAAAUGCGAUUAUAUGUCGUCAUAUUUAGUAAGAAUACUGCAAAAAGUGAAUCUCUAUGCUUCUGCAUUCCACUGUAUUUUUUAACUUCCUUGUUUUGUGAUGUUCUAAUAAUGAAGUGAUUGGGUGGAAGGCCUUCAUCAUCUCCACCUUUAACUACUGAAGCAAUAAUGUAAGGUGUUCUAUUCCGAGUCAAGUCAGAUAUAUGCUUUGGUCUUGUUUCAGAUAAAACAAAUAUAUCAGAUUGUUUUGGCUCAUAAGCUGCAUUGCCAUCUGCCGCCACAAUGCAGAAACCUAACUGUUUGUCUGACACAAUUUCUUCAACUGAUUCUAUUUCUAUCAAGGGAGCUUGACAAAUUGCCUCCAGAGCUGAGCACAGAUCAGCAUGUAUUUCUUCCAUCAAAGGAAAUAUGUAUGAGCCUAAAUAAUAAUCCACAGAUGCAAACUCUUUUGGAAUCUUCUGAACCUGUUAAAGAUGCAGAAUUAGUUGCUUUCAGAGAUCAUGAAAGGGAUUUUCUAAUAAUAAAGUUUUAUUAGUGAUGGUAAAUUCUCUGAGAAAAUAUUAGAAUAAAUUCAGGGUUGUUAGCUGCAGCGCUGAGCUGAAAAGUCAUUUGUGAAAACCAUGUCAUGAACAUGCAGUUAACGUGGAAACCUUUUCUUGAGUUUAAUUGGAAGAUUCUUUUAAAAAAAAAAAAAGCUGAAGAUGCAUUAUAUUUUUAAAAAUUAAGAGGCUAAAACAUAAUGAAAGAAAGGUUAAUGAUGUUAAAUGCUUCACAAACUUGGCCCACGUCAUUAGGUUUCAAUCCAGGUCCAGUUCAUCAAAAGAAAUUGAUUACAGCAUAAUGUUUUGAGUUUUCCUUGGCCUUUUUCUUUUCUUUUUUUUGAAGAAACCAGAAAAUAUAUUCAUAAGUCAAGGAAAUUAUCCUUGAGUUAGAGAUUACUGUUUAUUGACACGUGAUAUGAAUUUGCAUCAAUGUUGCGAUCUCUUUUCCUUUUGAAUUCUCAAGGAUUGUGAUUUCUUUCCUGCUCAAGACAUGUCAAGACUAGACGUUUCCAGAUAAGUUUUAUAUUAACUUCUACAUAUUUUUACGGAGAUUCAUUGAAGUAAGGUAAGCAAAAUGUAAUGAAAGGAAACACGAGACAAAAGGAAAAUAGGAGUAACAUGUAGGGCCAAAAUUUGUGGGGCUUACACUUCCAGGGGAAGAAGCACCAAGGCAAAAGGUAGUGAUACAGAGGCAUUUACGUAGAUUUAUUAGCAUUUAUAUAUUUUUUUUGGAUAAAUAAGUUUCUCUUGUUGGGUGUUUCUAUAGCAUUGCUAUUAAUACAUUUCUCUUAUUUUUUCUCUUAAAAUGACUUUUGUUGCAGCUUCAUUUCAUCUAUGAGCACAAUUGUGAUCUCUUUUAACCAGUAUGUGAGAGUAUGAGGUGAUAUCAUGGUCUGUGUUGGUACUGAAGGGCUUAUGAUUCUUUCAUUCAAUCUGAUUUCUCAAUUACAGAAGCAAUAGCUAGAGGAAAGAUAAAAAUCAUUACCUAGUGAAGAAAAGUAUUGAUGCUGAUAUGCCGCCAGAAUAAUCUUUUACCCUAAUUAUAAUCUUUCUGCGUUUUAUAUUGCUUCCUUUUAUUUACCUUUCCCCUUUUUGUAGUUACAUUGCUGUUAUAAUUGUUUUCACCAAGCUACUGUGAAACAUAAGAUUUUGUGCCCACUCUUUUGUUGUUCAUUCAAAGUAGCUUGGCACGGUUGGUUUUUACUGUUUUUCUUUCAAACUGGCAUCUGAAUGUCUUUUGCUUUUCCUUUAUCUUUUUUUUUUUUUAACAAGGAGAAAAGGA
rnacentral:lncRNA from 1 species